rnacentral:rRNA from 1 species
UAACGGCCCUCCUAGUCUUCGAUGGAUAGGGGUUCUGAGAGGAAGGUCCUCCACAUGGAAACUGAGACACGGUCCAAACUCCUACGGGAGGCAGCAGUGAGGAAUAUUGGUCAAUGGGCGAGAGCCUGAACCAGCCAAGUAGCGUGAAGGAUGACUGCCCUAUGGGUUGUAAACUUCUUUUAUAAAGGAAUAAAGUCGGGUAUGGAUACCCGUUUGCAUGUACUUUAUGAAUAAGGAUCGGCUAACUCCGUGCCAGCAGCCGCGGUAAUACGGAGGAUCCGAGCGUUAUCCGGAUUUAUUGGGUUUAAAGGGAGCGUAGAUGGAUGUUUAAGUCAGUUGUGAAAGUUUGCGGCUCAACCGUAAAAUUGCAGUUGAUACUGGAUAUCUUGAGUGCAGUUGAGGCAGGCGGAAUUCGUGGUGUAGCGGUGAAAUGCUUAGAUAUCACGAAGAACUCCGAUUGCGAAGGCAGCCUGCUAAGCUGCAACUGACAUUGAGGCUCGAAAGUGUGGGUAUCAAACAGGAUUAGAUACCCUGGUAGUCCACACGGU